GUGUUUGUUUUUAACGAGGCAUGAAAUUCUCUAAGCUCCUGUCUUUAGACACAGAAGUUGCCAACUACAGACAAAAAGGUACAGAACUAAAGAAAUAGUAUCCUUUUUUAUUCUAGUUAUUGAAUUCAGUGCAGUAUAUUUAAUUGAAGCUUUGCGCAGACUACAAUGACACGGUGUGGUUUUAACACGUGGUAACUAACAGUCUGGAAAGUCUAGUGCAGCCUCUUUUUCUUUUAGUGUAGUUGGUCCAAUAAAAGAUACUACCUCACCCACCUUGUCUCUCUAGUGCAAAGAAGGCAGUGUAUAUAUCUAAUAUGUGCUAAGCUGGUUAAAAGUUAAAGCCUAGGCUCCAGAUGGUAUGCAUUGUCUAGACUAGAUGUUGGGUGUGGUUUUUUUGGUUUUUUUUUUUAAACACGUUAACAUAUGCUAACAUCCUACCUUUAAACCCUAGUCUAGACACAGCCUACAAGGCAGUUGAUACCGAGAAGUUACAUCAGCAUAGCUACAUCACUCGGGUGUGAAAAAUCCACACCCCUGAGCAAUGUGGGUUAAGCCAAACAACCUACCGGAAUAAACAGCACUAGGUCAAUGGAAGAAUUUUUCUGUUGACCUAGUUAUUAUCUCUUGGGGAGGUGGAUAGUGUCUUUACUGAAGCACUACAAUGGCACUGCUGUAGCAUUUCAAGGUGAAGAAACCCUUAUUGUCUGCAGGAAUCCAGACUGUUACUUUAAGUUGUUUCCUCAUAAGGUUUGGCCCUGCAGGCUACUGAGUUUGGACAAAAUAAGUGCAGAGGAGAGGGCUAGCACUGAGUAGGCCUGAUCCUAUGGCCUUUCAUCACACAAGUAGUCCAUUUUAAUAGUUCUUACUUUUCAGAGAAGACCUGCAUUUUAAGUGCAAUUCUCCAUAUGCAAAUGGCAACCCCUGUGUUGCAUAGUGCUUCCUGUGAGAUGCUGACUACCCUCAACUCCUUUUGAAGUCAGUGGAAAUUGGAUUGGGAAUUAGUUAUUUCAAGAACUUCAUGCCACCUGCAAGGCUCUGUCUCCUAUAGUCUUGGUUAAGGGGGUAGAAGAGAAGAAAGCAGAGAAAAUGCAACACCCUGAUGUCUGUGGCAUGAAAGUGCAGAAUAUAGACACAAGUUAAAAUAAAAUGUCAAAGCUAGAGAAACUAGAGAGAGCAUUUCAGUGGUAUAAUCCUCUCUGACUUUACUGACCCUAACUUUAUAUUCUUCAUGCAGUUAUCUGUAAAACCAUUUAAACUAAGAGCCAAAUAAAUUAUUUAAUAUGUUAA